GACGAACGCUGGCGGCGUGCCUAAUACAUGCAAGUUGAGCGCUGAAGGUUGGUACUUGUACCAACUGGAUGAGCAGCGAACGGGCGAGUAACGCGUGGGGAAUCUGCCUUUGAGCGGGGGACAACAUUUGGAAACGAAUGCUAAUACCGCAUAAAAACUUUAAACACAAGUUUUAAGUUUGAAAGAUGCAAUUGCAUCGCUCAAAGAUGAUCCCGCGUUGUAUUAGCUAGUUGGUGAGGUAAAGGCUCACCAAGGCGAUGAUACAUAGCCGACCUGAGAGGGUGAUCGGCCACAUUGGGACUGAGACACGGCCCAAACUCCUACGGGAGGCAGCAGUAGGGAAUCUUCGGCAAUGGACGAAAGUCUGACCGAGCAACGCCGCGUGAGUGAAGAAGGUUUUCGGAUCGUAAAACUCUGUUGGUAGAGAAGAACGUUGGUGAGAGUGGAAAGCUCAUCAAGUGACGGUAACUACCCAGAAAGGGACGGCUAACUACGUG
rnacentral:rRNA from 1 species